AAAUUCACACACCUGGGUGCUUUGUGUGUUCAGUUUUUAAUUGCCUUUGUAUUUUGUGCUUGCACACUUCAUACAUGUAUGCUAUUUCACAUGGCCUCAACUACUACCAAUUUAAUGACACCAUGUUUUGGGGGAAAAUAGGUUAUUUUCAAGUACUGGUUUUGUCUCCAUAGAAAUAAGCUAAUGAUGAAAUUAGGUAUAAAGGAAGUUCUUUGUUGGAAUAUGAAUCUUUAAAUUAUGAAAUAUUGUUCAGACUUCUCACAGUGUAAUUAUUCACAAUAUGAUUUCAUAGAGAAGCAGGCCAGUACUCGUUCCUUAUAUUGAACCUUUGGGAGACUGGGAUGACAUUAAGUCCAAUAGAGGUCACAUGGUUGUUUUGGUGACCCUCCACACACAAAGAAGUGCAAUAACUAUUAUACAGGAUAUGUCCAUUGUGGAUAACAUAGUCAGGCUUUUUAUGAGAAUUUGAUAUUUUGUAUGGAUAAAUCAUGGGUGAAUUGUAAAGAUGCUUACACAAGUAUUAAACAAACAAGAAAACACAUUUAACAACUGGUAUUUGUAUUUAGUUAACAUUCAACAAUAUUUUUUAAAUUAUAUACAAGACCAAAACAAUUGUGAAUUUUGAAAGAAAAAUAGAGAUGUAGAAUUUUUUAUUUUAAUGCAUAUUUUUCAUAUCUUGUAGAUUGGUACAAAUUUGGUAUUUAAAAAUCAUAGAAAUAAUAAUAAUAAAUGUACAUGUAUAUAAGACAACCAAAUGAAUAAAUCUUGUUUCAAAUC
rnacentral:misc_RNA from 1 species